AUACAUGCAAGUCGAGCGAAUGGAUUAAGAGCUUGCUCUUAUGAAGUUAGCGGCGGACGGGUGAGUAACACGUGGGUAACCUGCCCAUAAGACUGGGAUAACUCCGGGAAACCGGGGCUAAUACCGGAUAAUAUUUUGAACUGCAUAGUUCGAAAUUGAAAGGCGGCUUCGGCUGUCACUUAUGGAUGGACCCGCGUCGCAUUAGCUAGUUGGUGAGGUAACGGCUCACCAAGGCAACGAUGCGUAGCCGACCUGAGAGGGUGAUCGGCCACACUGGGACUGAGACACGGCCCAGACUCCUACGGGAGGCAGCAGUAGGGAAUCUUCCGCAAUGGACGAAAGUCUGACGGAGCAACGCCGCGUGAGUGAUGAAGGCUUUCGGGUCGUAAAACUCUGUUGUUAGGGAAGAACAAGUGCUAGUUGAAUAAGCUGGCACCUUGACGGUACCUAACCAGAAAGCCACGGCUAACUACGUGCCAGCAGCCGCGGUAAUACGUAGGUGGCAAGCGUUAUCCGGAAUUAUUGGGCGUAAAGCGCGCGCAGGUGGUUUCUUAAGUCUGAUGUGAAAGCCCACGGCUCAACCGUGGAGGGUCAUUGGAAACUGGGAGACUUGAGUGCAGAAGAGGAAAGUGGAAUUCCAUGUGUAGCGGUGAAAUGCGUAGAGAUAUGGAGGAACACCAGUGGCGAAGGCGACUUUCUGGUCUGUAACUGACACU
rnacentral:rRNA from 2 species